GUAUGUCUUAUAUCAUGGUACACUAAGUCUCUAUUUUGAAGGAAUAAAAGAAAAGUCAAAUCUUUCCAUGUAAAAAAAAUAAUAAAAUCAGCAAUAAGAGGAGUAGAGAAAAAAACAAGAUUAAAAAAAUAUUCCCUCUAAGACUAAGCAACAAUAGAAAUGUGUUUCUGAUUAAAGCCCAAUGAGAACAGCCAAAGCAGAAAGUCAAAAUUGAUCCCCAGUGAAGAUUUCUGGGGGAGUUUGAAUUAAGUCACUUGGAUUGAUUUGACCCAUAAUCUUUAUUGUACUUUGAGUGGAGUAGCUGCUUUUUACUGGGAAGUGAGGGGAAGGAUGAAUCAAAGAUCUGUCAGGAACAUGUCGCCUGUGGGGGAGAAUGGCAGACAGAGAAAGUAUAUCUAAUGGACUAGAAACAGAGAGAGCAGUGAGGGGAUAUCAGUUUGCUUCAGCACGAGGGGUGCAUGGACUGGCCUGGUCUUUGCUUACCUCCUUGAGGAGAUCGUCAUGGAAAUGGGGCGAGGCCUUCACAAUAUUCUAAUUGGGCAGAUCAUAGAAACUGAAGCUUUAUGCUCUGGAAUCAACUCAGCCAGCCACAUUCAGAGUACGCCCUACAGUUUCUUUUGAAAUCUUUAUCAUUAUCUGUCUCUCAGUGAACAAACACAGCCACAUUCACAAAACGCCGCACAAGUCAUGUGUACAAUGAUGUGUAAGACUGAAGUAGCCAGAAGGGAUAAGAAGAAGGAGGAUGAGUAAUCGUCCCUAUAACUCUGCAACAUCUGAGAAAAGGAGCAGCAAGCCGCUGAAACUGACAAUUCCUUUCUUUAGCCCCAACCCAGAAUCAAUGCCAAAGGGGUUAAACUCUGAUAAUUUCAAGAAGAUACAUCGUACUGGAUGGGGUCUUGAGAUGGGAUCUUGACCAUACAACCAUUUUCCCACACAGCCUCCUAGCAACUGUUGACAUCCACCUUUCCCUGGUCUCACCCUUUUCCUGAGUUGAUCUCACCAACCUGUGAGACAGCCAAGGGCUUUUUCCUUGUCCUGGAGUCAGCUGAAUAUACAGAUGCCUGUACUUGUGCCAAAGCAUCUUUAUGAUACUUGUGGUCCACCUGCUCUUUGUUCAUCAACUUCUGGACACACGUGCCCAGCCUGCAGUUCCAGAGAUGUGUGUGAAGGAGGAUUUAAACGAGUUCACAUUUAUGGGCUCUGAGAAAAAGAACGAACCAGUAUCGCCACAUUUGGCUGCCAAUUGUAAGCUGUCUUUAUGGGAAACCAGACUGGCCUGUACAGCAUUCAUCGGAAAAAAAAGAAAACCAGAGUUUUAUGUGAAUUCUCCUGACUUUCCAUAUUGGCAACUAAUUCAAUGAGAAAAGUAGUGUGGAUCAAAUAAAAUACAUCUGUGGGCCAGAUUCGGUCUUUGGACCAUCACUGUGUAUCCUGUGACUUAGAAUCUGAUGGCAGUCAUCAGCAUCCUGAACAAACUUGUCACACAUGGGCCCCUAUUCCUAAGAUUGGAUGAAAGGAGAAGAAAUGCUUCUCUUGUGAGAACCCCUCCAAAACGAUCACUGAAGAUCUUAUGCUUACUCAAGGCUUUGGCAUUGCAAUGCCCCUAAGACCUUCGACUCUAGACCCUACCACAGUCCAGCUGCCAGAUGUGGACACUAGGGUGACCUGGAAACCAUGUGUUGCUGGCAGAGCCUCCAUGGGGCUGGGUCCCUGAAUGACCGCAUGGAGUACACACAAACACACACCACCCCUCUCAACAUGUGAGCAAG
ensembl:lncRNA